GGAUUAGAUACCCUGGUAGUCCACGCCGUAAACGCUGGUCACUAGCUGUCCGCCCCAAUUGGGGGGCGGGUGGUCAAGCGAAAGUGAUAAGUGACCCACCUGGGGAUUACGUUCGCAAGAAUGAAACUCAAAGGAAUUGACGGGGGCCCGCACAAGCGGUGGAGCAUGUGGUUUAAUUCGAUGAUACGCGAGGAACCUUACCAAGGUUUAAAUGCAAGUUGACGUAGCGUGAAAGCGCUAUUUCUUCGGACAAUUUGCAAGGUGCUGCAUGGCUGUCGUCAGCUCGUGUCG
rnacentral:rRNA from 1 species